CUCCUCCCAAGGACUCAACCUCGGCGGCGCGCUCUACAACUUGUCCACCCAAGCCUUCGAGCCAUCCAACAGCCUCGGCGGGGCGGUCUACACCUUCGUCGCCCAAGCCUCCCAGGCAUACAACAGCCUCGACGGCGGGCUCUACAACCUCACCGCCUAGACCACCCAGGGAGGCGACCUCGGUGGUGGCGGGCUCUACAACCUCGCCGCCCAGGCCACCCAGGGAACCGACCUCGGCGGCGGCAGCAGCAGCAGCGGCGGCAUCGCCAUCGCCAUCGCCAUCGCCGCGCCGGAAGACCUUGCCCCGCUCAAGUGGGUCCGCAAGAAGCGCUCGCACGUCCGCUCCUACUCCUGAACCCGUACCCGUGCCUACUCCCACACCAGCACCGGUGCCCACUCCCACCCCCGCGGCUGAGCCCGAACUGACCCCCACUUAGACGCAUUGCGAUCAUCCGCGGAGGACGCUAACGCCGGUGCCGGCGGCGAGCAGCAGCAGCCAGCGCCGAAGGAGCAGCAGAGGCCGCGUCGGCCAAGGCGGCCCACAGCAGCGCCGAGCAGGAGCCUAGGCAGCCGACGCCGCAGAGGCAGCAGCCGCCGCGUCAGGCGUCGAUGAGGGAGAAAAGCAAGGCGCCGAUGGUGCAGAGCCCCCCGCGAAAAAGUUUUUUUACCGGUGCUGGGAGCUACCGGUGAAGUCCCAACCAAUCAAAUGCUUCCAGCUAACUUUGUGUGGGCCAACUAUCCAAUGAUAUAGUGUUGUACUUUGCUAGUAUCCGGUCCAUUAAAUCAAAUCAAUGUGAGACCCAACCGUACUACUGAGUGCAACUUUUAUGCCUAGCCAUGCAUGCAUGUUGUUAGACCACUCCACACACAGAAAAGGCAAACAUUUUAUUUAUCUUGGAAGAUAUUAAUUCAUUGAUAUCUUUUGAAUAAAAAUUUCAUUUUGAAAUAUUUUUACACAUUUGAAUUCCUGACGCCGUGAUCUUUAAAAUAAGAUCAAACUUGAAUACAUUUCGAACGAGUUCAAAUUUGUUGCAACAUAUUUCACUCAUUUGUAAUAAACAAAUUUCACUCAUUUCUCAAAAAAUGAUUUAACUUGUUUAUUUCACUCAUUCAAAAUACUUAAUUUCAAUCAUUCCAAAACACAUAUUUCAAUCAUUUGACCAAAUUGGUUUCACUCAUUUCAAAAAACGGAUUUCACUACGUUCAAUUCAAAGACAGUGUUCACUAAAUUGAGAUGUGAAACUUGUUAUUUGAAUACAUUUCGAACGAGUUUAAAAUUGUUGCAACAUAUUUCACUCAUUUCUUAAAAAUUGAUUUAACUUGUUUAUUUCACUCAUUUCAAAAUACUUGUUUCAGUCAUGUCAAAACACAUAUUUCAAUCAUUUGAAAUAAUUGGUUUCACUCAUUUCAAAAAACGGAUUUCACUCCUUUCAAUUCAAAGACAGUGUUCACUCAAUUGAGAUGUGAAACUUGUUAUUUGAAUACAUUUCGAAUGAGUUUAAAAUUCUUGCAACAUAUUUUACUCAUUUCUAAUAAACAAAUUUCACUCAUUCCUUAAAAAAUGAUUUAGCUUGUUUAUUUCACUCAUUUCAAAAUACUUAUUUCAGUCAUUUCAAAACACAUAUUUCAAUCAUUUGAAAAAAAAUCAGUUUCACUUAUUUUCAAAACAAAAAAAAACGUAAGACCAACCCCACUCAUUUUCAAAAACUUGUUUCACUCCUUUGAAAGAACACAUUUUACUCAUUUUCAAAAACUUAUUUCACUCCUUUGAAAAACAUAACUAGAAUUGAAAUAUAAUUAAAAAUUUAAACUAGUCAAAAUAUAUCCAAGAUUGGUCUUGAUUUAAAGAUCUUGUCGACCUAAAUACAAAUAUAUAAAAAGUUUCCAAAACAAAAAUUCGGUUUAAAAGUUAUGAGCAAUUCAAAAUGCUAGACUGAAAAUAAAAGGCAAGCUUUUUGUUUGGAGAGAGAGAGAGACAAGGACGACAUGUGCAUGCAACCAGUGUUGUACUAUUCUGAGUGAAAGCAUCCUCCACUAGUACUUUCCCUGGCAAAAGUCUGUGUAUGUCAGUUGUAUUAGCUGUGUAUUCUGUCUGUAUCUCCAAAUGUGAAUGGAUUUUAUUUACAUCCCGGUUCUGGUAAAAGAGACUUUGCGGAGCCCCCUGCGGUGGCGCCGCACGUCGCGGCCAAGGCGGCGGCGGCCGCGCGUCGCGACCCAGCUCACCCGCAAGGAGAAGGAGGAGGACUGGUUCGCGAUGACCGGCGGCAGGCUGCCCUACCGCCCCUGCAGCGCCGCCCCAAGGCCGUCGAGGACGAGCUCCAGAAACUGUUCCCGGGGCAGACGCUGCCUGAGGUGACCAGGGCCAGGUACAUGGUGCGCGAGAAGAAGCAAAAGAAGCGCGCCGGCCUGCAAGCAAUGGCGGAGGAGGAUGACCUGAGCUCCAAGAGGCGCCACGACGACGAGGACGACGUGGCGGGAGAAAAAGACCAUUUGGGCGUUGCCGAUGCGGAGGAGCGCGGUAGCCGGAGGAAGAGAGGUUGAAGGCAGCAGUGGACUCAUGUGCAUUCCAUGAGCCUCAGUCGGAACAAAAAAAAAAAAGAACUCUAGCCAGCGUUCGGCUUUUCCCUUUUCUUGGACUUUCGUUCGUUCGUGUCGUCGAUGAGACGGUUCAUUGGUUUACAAUGGUCGGUCAUCGCCCGCCGUCGCUGUUUCCGCACCUCCGUAGUGGGGGCCGGGGUGGCGGCGGGCUGGUUGGUUGAAGCCCGCAGUCGCUGUUUCCGCACCUCCGUGGUGCACUAGUAGAAAACAGGG